rnacentral:sRNA from 1 species
GAUGAUGUCUCACUCUGUUGCCAAGGCUGGAGUGCAGUGGCUUGAUCUUGGCUCACUGCAACCUCCGCCUCCCGGGUUCAAGUGAUUCUCCUGCCUCAGCCUCCCAAAUAGCUGGGAUUACAGGUGCCCACCACCACGCCCAGCUAAUAUUUGUAUUAUUAGUAGAGAUGGGGUUUCACCAUCUUGGCCAGGGUGGUCUUGAACUCCUGACCUUGUGAUCCACCCGCCUCGGCCUCCCAAAGCGCUGGGAUUACAGACGUGAGCCACUGUGCCCGGCCAAUAUCCUGAACUUUCUCACCUGCCUUCUCCUCCUAGCUAACGGGCCUCACCUCUUCCAUUCCGGAGAUGAUCCUUGGACAUCUUUUCAGCCAGGAAGAGCUCUCUGGAAAUUCUGAGUUGAUACAAAAGUACAGAAAUAUCAUUACACAUGCACCCAACCUGGAUAACAUUGAAUUGUACUGGAACAGCUACAACAACCGCCGAGACCUGAACUUUGAGCGUGGAGGUGAUAUCACCCUCAAGUGUCCUGUGAUGCUGGUGGUAGGAGACCAAGCACCUCAUGAAGAUGCAGUGGUGGAAUGUAACUCAAAACUGGACCCCACCCAGACCUCGUUCCUCAAGAUGGCUGACUCCGGAGGUCAGCCCCAGCUGACUCAGCCAGGCAAACUGACCGAGGCCUUCAAGUACUUCCUGCAAGGCAUGGGCUACAUGGCCUCAUCCUGCAU